rnacentral:lncRNA from 10 species
AGGUCAGCCACCUGCAGCCAAGGAGAGAGGCCUCUGAGGAAACCAACCCUGCCAGCACUUUGAUCUUGAACUUCCAGCCUCCAGAACUGUGAGAAAGUAUAUUCCUGUUGUUUAAGCCACCCAGUCUAUGGCAUUUUGUUUUGGCAGCUUUAGCAGACUAAUAUACUUCCCCAUUCCCCCACAGUGCUUCCUGGGGUCAAUUCUCAGAUAAAUGAUUUGCACUUUAAUCCUUAUCUCAGGGGCCAGGUGGGAGGGGGCUCACGCCUGUAAUCCCAGCACUUUGGGAAGCCGAGGUGGGCAGAUCACCUGAGGUCAGGAGUUCAAGAGCAGCCUGACCAACAUAGUGAAACAUCGUCUCCACUAACUUUACAAAAUGUAGCUGGGUGGGGCGGCACAUUGCUGUAGUCCCAGCUACUCAGGAGGCUGAGGCAGGAGAAUCCCUUGAACCCGGGAGGUGGAGGUUGCAGUGAACUGAGAUCGUGCCACUGCACUACAGCCUGGGUGACAGAGUGACUUCGUCUAAAAAAAAAAAAAUUAUCUCAGGAAACCAACUCGCAGACCAACAACGCAUAUAUGGUGGGACAUAGACCCCAAGUAAGAGUGAAGCGAAGACUCAACUUUAACCACCACCCUCUAAGUUUCUUUUGAGGAGCUUGGAGAACGUCACUCCCUGUGGGUCUAAGUGGUACAGGCGCUAAAAAAUUAUUUAGGCAGAUAGUGAGGGUAAGGAAGUCCUCGGCUGUUUCCCUUUUAACAAAAAGCAGUCCCUAAAUCAUUUAUUUUCUAACAAAGAGCAGCCUGUAAAAUCGAGCUGCAGACAUAGAUAAGCAAGCUGGAAGCUUGCAUGGGUGAAUGCAGCAGCUGUGCCAAUAGGAAAAGGCUACGUGGCGGCCAGGCAUGUUCAACAUGGCGGCUCCAUCUUCCCUUUUCUUUGUCAACUAGGUGUACAGUAAGGAACCGACAACAUCACACCGGCCAGGUAGAGAAGCCAUUUGCAUAAUAGAAGAUUAGGGUGGGGUGGCCAGCUUCUUUGCGCGCUUUGUAAACAUCACACCUAGUCCACCAAUCUUUGGGCCCUAUGUAAAUUAGACAACACCUCCUCAAGCCAGUCUAUAAACCCUCCCCUCCCCGCACAUGCAUUUCACCGCAAAACCCAAAGACCCACUUAGGUGUCCCCUCUCUCCGCAGAAGAGAGAGCUUUUCCCUUUCUCUCUGUUAAACCUCUUCUCUUAAACUCACUUCUUGCGUGUCCUCGUCCUCGAUUUCCUUGGCGUAAGACGACGAACCUCAGGCAUUUACCCCAGACAACGAAGGUGCUUCAUAAGGUCAUGCAGCUGGGUCAACAUAGGACUGUGUAGCCAAGAGCUACAGGAUGGAUUGCUGAGGCCAGGGAGAUUGAAAGGAAGUCACAGCCCAAUCUCAGAGGGAUCCACGGAGCCAGCGAAAGCUAAGGCGGGACUUACCCAACAGAGGGUCCUGGCCCAGUCACCCAGUGGCACAACCCAACUGGGAGAUCUGAGCAUCUACCAACUGUGGCCACCAGUGAGAUGGUGUCAUUGUCUGGGUGCUGCUUGAGCAUCCACACAACAUGGCGCUAGCUUCCCCCAGAGGCCGCCUGAAAGCUUGUACAAGUGCCUGAGGAAAGCCGGAUUUGGCAGGCUGCAACCACGGUGGAUGACAGCUGAAGGAGAAUUACAGCAGCAGCAGUUAAGUAGAAGAUGUUCACACUUCCUCGCUCUGCAUCUUUCUUCCUGGAGCCCAACACCUCGGAGGAGAAUGGGAAACCCAGAAGAAGGAGUGGGAAGUAGGGUUGCCACAUAAAAUAUAGGACUCUCAGUUACAUUUGAAUUUCAGAUAAGCAGCAGAUUAUUUCUUAGUAUAAGUAUGUGCCAGUAUGUGUGUAUGUGCACACAUAUGUGCACAUGUAUGCAUGCAUCAGCUAGAUUCUGCAACCAUCAGAGAAAUAGACAAAGGUCCUUUUGACCAGUGGUCAAACUGAGCUAUGAGGAGAAGAUCUUGAAAUUGCAUGUGAUAUUGAAGCUUUAAACUUACUGAGUUGCUUGUGUUAGGCUUUUAAAUACCGUAAUGGGACUAAAAACUAUGUUUCUAAGAGAGAGGAAUAUUUGGGAGUACAGCUGACCCUUGAACAAUGCAAGGCUUAGAGGCAUUGUCAAAAAUCCACAUGUAACUUUUGACUCCACAAACAUUUAACUAUUUUUCUUGUCUUUUUUCUUUUUUUUUUUUUGAGAUGGAGUCUCACUCUGUCUCCCAGGCUGGAGUGCAGUGGGGUGAUCUCAGCUCACUGCAACCUUCACCUCCCAGGUUCAAGCAAUUCUCAAGCCUCAGCCUCCUGAGUAGCUGGGAUUACAGGUGUGCACAAAGAUGCCUGGCUAAUUUUUGUAUUUUCAGUAGAGAUGGGGUUUCACCAUGCUGGCCAGGCUGGUCUUGGACUCCUGACCUCACGUGAUCUGCCCACCUUGGCCUCCCAAAGUGCUGGGAUUACAGGCAUGAGCCACGGCAUCUGCCCAAAAACUGAACUAUUAGUAGCCUACUGUUGACUGGAAGUCUUACUGAUAACAUAGUCAAUUAACACAUGUUUUGUGUUAUAUGUAUUAUAUACUAUAUUCUUACAAUAAAGCAAGCUAGAGAAAAUAGAAUAUUAAGAAAAUCAUAAGGAAAAUAUAUUUAGGAUUCUUUUUUUUUUGAGAUGGAGUCUUGCUGUGUCACCCAGGCUGGAAUGCAGUGGUCAGCCUUCCAACGUGCUGAGAUUACAGGCGUGAGCCACUAUGCCCGGCCAUAUUUACUAUUCAUUAAGUGGAAGCGGAUCAUCAUAGAUGACUUCAUCCUCAUCCUCUUCACACUGAAUAGGGUGAAGAGGAGGAGGAAGAGGAGGGGUUGGUCUCACUGUCUCAAGGGUGGCAGAGGCAGAAGAAAAUCCAGGUAGAAGUGGACCCAAGCAGUUCAAAUCCAUGCUGUUCAGGGGUCAACUGGGUCAACUGUGUAGUUAAAGGUAGUGAGUAGUUGGAGAAAAAUGAAACUGCUUUCGUGUUUAUACCUUCACUGAGUUCAGACCUCGUAAUAAACUGGGUAUCUGUAUGUGUGACAAACAAUAGAGGAGAUGUGUGUGCAGGGUGUUCAAGGGGCUUUUGCAUCUUUGCUGGUGAUCACAAAUAGGGCUUUAAUUCUUGGACUUGAAGAGCUGCAGGAGCCAUUGAAAGGAUACAUGGAGCUAGUUGAAUACCACAUUAUCAUUUAGCAAGUGAUAUUUAGCUCUAUUCCUGUGGAUGAACCCUGAUUAGGAUCUUAAGUUUGUAUGUUGUUGGAGAUUAUUCUUGUUUGUCUUGGAAAUGAACAUUCAUUCAUUCGUUCUGGUGCCUAGCAUAGACAAUAAAUCACAAUUCAAAUAAUGAAAAAUUAUAUAUUUAUUUAUUAAGCAUCUACUGCAUGUAGGUUCUGUGUUAGAUGCACAAAAAUGAAUACCAUAAAAUCCUUUACUAAAACGCCAUUCCUGUCUUUGAGUGGAAAAUGUAGCAGCUACGGGAAUUAAGUUAUAUGGUAGCAUGUGUGGUUACCUACUUGACGGAGACAGAAUCCACAUUAUCAGGUGUGGUCAGAUGAGGGAUUCUCUGCCUGGAGAAGUUGUCAUGGACAAGAUCAGUUGCUCUGGGGGAAGCCAGCUGUCAUGUGACAAACAGCUCUCCACAGAGGAUUAUGGGGCAUGUAACUGAGGCCUCCAGCCAGCGGCCACGUCAGUGAGUUUGGAAAUAGGUCCUCUAGCCCAGUUGAGCCUUCAGAAGACGACAUGAGGAUUUGCUGCAGUUCUGCCCAACAUCUUGAUUUCAAGCUCAUGAGACAGCCUAAGCCCAAACCACCCAGCUAAGCCAUUCCUAGAUUCCUGACCCAAAGAAACUAUGUGAGAUUAUGUGUCUGGUAUUUUAAGCACUAAGUUCUGGGAUAAUUUGUUUUGAAGCAAUAGUUAAGAAAUACAAUGAGAUAACACUAAACGCAAUGAGAGAGCACUAAACACUAUACUUGGUGUAGAUAAGGUCAUGGAGCCACAGGAAUGCUCAUUUUGUGCUAGUGGAAAAGGAAAUUGGAAAAACCAUUUUGCAAUGUAUAACCAGGUGGCAAUAUCUACAGUUUUAAAGCUAUGCCUAUUAUAUGAUCUCACAGUUCCACUUCUAGGUAUAUAGUGCAUGAUCCUGUGCACAGGAGACAUGCACAUGAAUAUUCAUAGCAGGAAUGUUUGUAGUAGCCUCAAAUUGGAAACCAUCCACAUAUCCAUCAGUAAUGGAAUGGAUAAAUAAGUUUUGGUAGCAGUUGAGCCUUGAACAACACGAGUUUAAACUAUGUGGGUCCACUUAAUAUGCACAUUUUCUGGGUCCACUUAUAUGCAGAUUUUCUUCUACCUCUGCUACCCCUGAGAUGGUAAGACCAUCUUCCUUGAUCCACUUCCACAGUAAAUACAUUUUCUCUUUCUUAUGAUUUUCUUAAUAUCAUUUUCUUUUCCCUAAGCUUACUUGAUUGUAAGUGUACAGUAUGUGAUAAAAAUAACAUGCAAAAUAUGUGUUAAUCAACUGUUAAUGAUCAGUUAAUACUUCUGGUGAACAGUAGGCUGUAAGUAGUUAAGUUUUGGGGAAGUCAAAAGCAUAUGCAGAUAUUUGACUGUGUGGGGUGUUGGUAUCCCUAACCUCGUGCAUUGUUCAAGGGUCAAUUGUAUUUGUACAAUAAAAUGUUAUACAGCAAGGGUUGGAAGAUUUGUUCUGUUAAGGGCCAGAGAGUCAAUAUUUUAGGCUUUAAGGGCUGUACAGUCUCUGUCAUACCUAGUCAACUCUGCUGUUGUAGUAUGUAAGCAGCCACAGAGAAUAGGGAAAUGAAUAAGCAUGGCUAUAUUUCAAUUAUACUUUAUUUACAAAACAGAUGGGGAACUGGAUUUGGCACAGGGGCCACAGUUUUCUGACCAUUACUCUAUAAUAUUGAGAGUAAAAGGGGCCAGGUGCAGUGGCUCACAUCUGUGAUCCCAGCACUUUGGGAGGCUGAGGCAGGAGGAUUGCUUGAGGCCAGUAGAUCAAGACCAGUCUGGGCAACAUGGCGAGACCCCAUGAUAUGGUUUGGAUGUGUGUCCCUCCUCAAAUCUCAUGUCAAAUUGUAAUUCCCAGUGUUGGAGGAGAGGCCUGGUGGGAGGUGAUUGGAUCAUGGGGACAGGCUUUCCCCUUGCUGUUCUUGUGAUAGUGAGUUCUCAUGAGAUCUGGUUGUUUAAAAGUGUGUGGCACCUCCCCCUUCUCUCUCUUCUUCCUGCUCUGGCCACAUAAGACAAGCCUACUUCCACUUCACCUUCUGUCAUGAUUGUAAGUUUCCUGAGGCUUCCCCCACCAUGCUUCCUGUAGAGCCUACAGAACCAUGAGCCAAUAAACCUCUUUUCUUUAUAAAUUACCCAGUCUCAGGUAUUUCUUCAUAGCAGUGUGAGAAUGGACUAAUAUACCCCAUCUCUACAAAAAAAUUUAAAAAAUUAGCCAGGUGUGGUGGUGUGUGCUUGUGGUCCCAGCUACUUGGGAGGCUGAGAUGGGAGGAUCUUUUUAGCCCAGGAUGUGGAGGCUGCAGUGAGCCAUGCUCAGGAUUUUAGUCUGUUCUCACGCUGCUAAUAAAGACAUACCUGAGACUGGGUAAUUUAUAAAGGAAAGAGGUUUGAUGGACUCACAGUUCCACGUGGCUGAGGAGGCCUCACAAUUAUGGUAGAAGGUGAAGGAGGAGCAAAAUCAUGUCUUACAGGGCGGCAGGCAAGAGAGCAUGUGCCAGGAAACUGCCCUUUAUAAAACCAUCAGAUCUCACGAGACUUAUGCACUAUCAUGAGAACAGCACGAGAAAGAUCUGCCUCCAUGAUUCAAUUACCUCCCACAGCGUCCCUCCCAUGACACACGGGAAUUAUGAGAGUUACAAUUCAAGAUGAGAUUUGGGUGGGGACACAGCCAAACCAUAUCACUCAGGUUGGGUGACAGAGCAAGGCCCUGUCUCAAAAAAAUAAACAAGUAAAAUAAUAAAAAAAGAGAGAAUGAAAGAGCCCAGGUACAAACAAGAACAUAGAUAAGUCUUUGAAAAGUAUUGAAUGAAAGAAAUCGGACAUAAAAUAUGUACUCCUAUUUAUAAAAAGUUCAAAAGCAUGAAAAAUGAGACGAUAUUGUUGAGGGAGCAUCUUGAGGAGGUGAAACUAGAAGGCAAAACAAGGAAUUGAGUCUUUAAAAUGCCAGGAUUGUUGUUACUUUGGAGGGUAGAUAGGGGUGUGUAAUUGAGAAGGGGUACCUAAGGGACUCAUGGGGUGCUGGCAAUAACCUUAUUUAUUAAUCUGUUGGGGGUUUCACAGGUGUUUAUACAAUCUGGUAAGUUGUAUAUUUGUGUUUUGUGUUCUUUUCUGUAUUUGCAUUCUAUUUCUCAAUAAAUUGUUGAAGAAAAAUGAAUAUUAAGA